ACGAACUGACCAUCAAAUGAUAAUGCUAAAUGAGUUGAACCAGCCUAUUGGUCCAACUAAAGCAGUGGUCACUGAAUUUUCCAGCUUUCUUGGCACAUUAGCAAGGAAUGGAACAUUUUGUCCUCUUAAUCUCACUUGGUCAAAGUUGAAGACAUACGAUGAAAUAUGGAGCUAUAUUCAGGAUUAACACUUGAUCCUAAUAUACUAGGAUUCAAUGUUCAUUUAUUAGGGGAAAUGUUUGCUACUACAAGAAAACCGUCUAUCUGUUGGUAGUAACAAUCAAGGUGUCCAAAAUGAUGAAGACAUUGACCAUACUUGAGAAGAUUUUUGGGUUGUGGAUAAAUGCUCUAAAAUCAAUUGUUUUGUGUUGAAUUCUUUUAAACUUAUCACGACUUAAACUUUCUAGUAUGUAAAAACUUAACUAGUCAUUUCGACUUGAUUACAUUUUACUUUUGGGUUUAA